rnacentral:pre_miRNA from 1 species
UGAUGAGCGUAGACCCGGUAAGUGUAGAUUUUCUAUCAUCACCGGGUAAACAUUCAUCCGG